GGGCAGUGGAGACAUUGUCCUUCAGUUAGGCUGGCCCCAGAACAGGUGCUGCAUGGCUGUCGUCAGCUCGUGUCGUGAGAUGUUGGGUUAAGUCCCGCAACGAGCGCAACCCUCGCCCUUAGUUGCCAGCAUUUAGUUGGGCACUCUAAGGGGACUGCCGGUGAUAAGCCGAGAGGAAGGUGGGGAUGACGUCAAGUCCUCAUGGCCCUUACGGGCUGGGCUACACACGUGCUACAAUGGUGGUGACAGUGGGCAGCGAGACAGCGAUGUCGAGCUAAUCUCCAAAAGCCAUCUCAGUUCGGAUUGCACUCUGCAACUCGAGUGCAUGAAGUUGGAAUCGCUAGUAAUCGCAGAUC
rnacentral:rRNA from 1 species